rnacentral:misc_RNA from 1 species
ACCAACUGACAUUUGCCGACCUUGCCGCCGCCGCGCAUCUGUCGGCGAUCGAUUAUCUGGGCGAUGUGCCAUGGAACGAGGACGACGCAGCCAAGGCGUGGUACGUGCGGAUCAAAUCCCGCCCGUCGUUCCGUCCGCUGCUGAACGAGUGGAUGGCGGGAGUCCCGGCGUCGGCGCAUUACAUCGAUCUCGACUUCUGACACCCGCACC